GCCGGGCAUGGUGGCGCAUGCCUGUAGUCCCAGCUACUCGGGAGGCUGAGGCAGCAGAAUUGCUUGAACUCAGGAGGCAGAGGUUACUGUGGGCGGAGAUCAUGCCACUGCACUCCAGCCUGGGUGACAGAGCAAGAUGUUGUCUCAA
ensembl:misc_RNA Metazoa_SRP Metazoan signal recognition particle RNA